rnacentral:rRNA from 1 species
UACAGAGGUGACAAGCGUUGUCCGGAUUUACUGGGCGUAAAGAGCGCGCAGGCGGUCGAUCAAGUCGAGUGUGAAAGCCCCCGGCUCAACUGGGGAGGGUCAUUCGAUACUGAUCGACUCGAAGGCAGGAGAGGGUAGUGGAAUUCCCGGUGUAGUGGUGAAAUGCGUAGAUAUCGUAAGGAAGACCAGUGGCGAAGGCGGGUCGUCUGGACAGUUCCUGACACUGAGACACGAAGGCCAGGGGAGCAAACGGG